UGCCUGGUGGCAUAGUGGUUAAGUGCUAUGGCUGCUAACCAGGAGGUUGGCAGUUCAAUUCCACCAGGCAU
rnacentral:tRNA from 1 species